GCUGAGAAGAGGGAAGAUAGAAGUUCUCUUCACUCUGUUUCUCUUCGUUCUCCUGGUCUUGAGACCCGUCUUCCUGUUUGGUGUCACUACUGUAGCUUUUCUGGGAUGCAACAUACUGAAGAUGAAGUACAAUUAGUGCCAUGGAAAGAUGAACUAACACUCCAGGUAGUAUAGUUGGACAAACUAAGAAGGGACUCAUCACAGAUUUGAUAUUUGACCAUUCCCCUCCUGAAUUCUUUUUGACAUGAAAGAAAGUCAACAUGGAUCUGCAUCUACAGUCAUUGUUGAAUAGAAAUACCUCAAGGCAUGAAAACAUGAGCUGAUAAAAGCAGAAGCUGUAGAGAACAGAGGUCACUGAAUUGUGUUUAUAGCUUUUACUGCACUUUUUAAACUUUGCUAGGUGAUCUAAAGAAAACUGACAGCAGUCAUCUGCAUAGCACCAAUUUACCACUUAGGAAGAGAAUUAAAUAUUUGGUCAGUGUUAGAAUUAGUAAGUAGAUUUUUGGUAGGUUGUCAGUCUCUGAGAUAAGGGUUGAGGAUUUCCCAUAAGUUAUUGACUAGGGCAUUUUUUUCAUAGACACAUAUAGCUUUGAUUCCUUGCUCCUUCUUUGUUGCUCUUAUUUGCAGAAGUAAAUGUACAUAAGUGCAGGACCUCUUGAUCUGCUUUGGAU